rnacentral:rRNA from 1 species
GACGAACGCUGGCGGCGUGCUUAACACAUGCAAGUCGAACGGUGAAGCGCCUUCCUUUUUGGUGGGUGUGGAUGAGUGGCGAACGGGUGAGUAACACGUGAGUAACCUGCCCCCUUCUUCUGGAUAACCGCAUGAAAGUGUGGCUAAUACGGGAUAUUCUGGGUCUGUCGCAUGAUGGGUCUGGGAAAGAUAUUGUUUCGGUGGGGGAUGGGCUCGCGGCCUAUCAGCUUGUUGGUGGGGUGAUGGCCUACCAAGGCGGUGACGGGUAGCCGGCCUGAGAGGGUGGACGGUCACACUGGGACUGAGACACGGCCCAGACUCCUACGGGAGGCAGCAGUGGGGAAUAUUGCACGAUGGGCGCAAGCCUGAUGCAGCGACGCCGCGUGAGGGAUGGAGGCCUUCGGGUUGUGAACCUCUUUCGCCAGUGAAGCAGGCCUGCCUCGUUUGUGGGUGGGUUGACGGUAGCUGGAUAAGAAGCGCCGGCUAACUACGUGC